rnacentral:rRNA from 1 species
UAAGCGGAGGAAAAGAAACUAACAAGGAUUCCCCUAGUAACUGCGAGUGAAGCGGGAAAAGCUCAAAUUUAAAAUCUGGUGGCCUUUGUCCAUCCGAGUUGUAAUUUAGAGAAGCGUCUUCCGCGCUGGACCGUGCACAAGUCUCCUGGAACGGAGCGUCAUAGAGGGUGAGAAUCCCGUCUUUGGCAUGGAAUCCCAGGGCUUCUGUGAUGCGCUCUCGACGAGUCGAGUUGUUUGGGAAUGCAGCUCAAAAUGGGUGGUGAACUCCAUCUAAAGCUAAAUAUUGGCGAGAGACCGAUAGCGAACAAGUACCGUGAGGGAAAGAUGAAAAGCACUUUGGAAAGAGAGUGAAACAGUACGUGAAAUUGUUGAAAGGGAAACGCUUGAAGUCAGUCGCGUCGACCGAGACUCAGCCUUGCCUCGGCUUGGUGUACUUCUUGGCUGACGGGUCAGCAUCAAUUUUGCCCCUUGGAUAAUGGCGAGGGAAAUGUGACACCUUUACGGGUGUGUUAUAGUCUCCUGUCGCAUGCGAGGGGUGGGAUUGAGGAACUCAGCGCGCACCUUGGUGUCGGGGCAUCUGCCCACGUCACGCGCUUAGGAUGCUGGCGUAAUGGCUUUAAACGACC